UUUUUGCAAGGCAGAGGGAAUCUGGGAGAAGGGCAAGGCCUGCCAGAGCCAUGUUUGCCACGCUCGAGCUGGCCAGAGUCCCUUCAAUGAGAAAUGGAGACGAUUUAAAAAGAAGGUGCAAAUGAAAGGCCUUGCAUGAUUUUGUCAUGGAAGCUUCUAGCAAUCAUAAGCGGCAAACGCUCAACAAGCCACUGCAUGACGGAGCAGUAGAGAUCGAAGUUAAAGGAUUCCAAGGAAUCUGCCAUCCUGAGAGAGAAAUGAGAUCCCCCUACCACUUGUUCCUUGACCCUCCCCCGAAACAGACAUCUACUGGUAAAAAUCCCGUGUACUUAUCCGGAGAUGGAAGAGCAUGUGGGGGGUGGGAUGGGGUGAUGUUUGUCAUUGACGUUGUCCUGUUUCGGGGUGAAAGAGGCAGAUGUGGCAGAGACAGAACCUGCCUCACACUCUUGGUUUUCGGUCUACUCCAGAUCCUAUCCUAGUACUAACAUCCAACUUCCGUUUUCCGAAUAAAGUUCUCCACACUUGCGUCUCUGAA